rnacentral:rRNA from 1 species
AUGUCUCUCGUUCCGUACGGCGGUGAUGGUGGCGCGUUGUCGUUGCCGAUCCCGCCGCUGACUCCGACGAACUACAUCUCCUGGGCGAUCAAGGUGGUGGCAAUCCUUGAUGCCCAAGGGCUGUGGGUCGUGGUUGCGCCAGCGGAGGGCGCGACGAUCGACGCCUGCAAGAGCAAGACGGCGCGAGCGAUGCUGUUGGGCACGCUGUCGGAGGAGGUUUUGAUGCAGGUGGCGACGAAGCCCACGACGAAGAAGGUAUGGGACUACCUCAAAGUGCAUUUCGUCGGCGCCGAUCGGGUGAAGGCUGCACGGCUGGCGACGCGGCGCAGCGAGUUCGAUUGCCUAAGGAUGGAUGACGACGAUGAGCUGGAUGCGUAUGCCGACAAGGUCAACAGCAUGGCGGCGAGGUAUGCCAGCCUCGGGGCAAUGCUCGACGAAGCGGCGAUGGUCAAGAAACUCCUCGACACCGUACCGAACCGGCUGUACGCCGAGGUGGCCGGCAUUGAGCAUUUUUGCAACGUCGAUGAAAUGUUGUUCGAGGAGGCGCUCGGCCGGCUGAAGGGCUUCGAGGAGCGGACGCGGCAGCGCGCGCAGGCCGUCUGGGAAUGGGCAGGCGAGCAGCUCAUGCUCACUGUGGCACAGUGGGCGGCGUGGCGGCAACAACAUGGUGGAGGCGGCUACGACCACGACGACGACGGAGCGGCCAACACGGCAUCGGGUGGUGGAGGGAAACGGUUUUUAGUGAGCCGCAUAGCGCGCGUGCAUCUCAAGGCGAGGACGUAG